AUUGAACGCUGGCGGCAUGCUUUACACAUGCAAGUCGAACGGUAACAGGCCGCAAGGUGCUGACGAGUGGCGAACGGGUGAGUAAUGCAUCGGAACGUGCCCAGUCGUGGGGGAUAACUACUCGAAAGAGUAGCUAAUACCGCAUACGAGCUAUGGAUGAAAGCGGGGGGCCGUAAGGGCUCGCGCGAGUGGUGCGGCCGAUGUCAGAUUAGGUAGUUGGUGGGGUAAGGGCUCACCAAGCCAACGAUCUGUAGCUGGUCUGAGAGGACGACCAGCCACACUGGGACUGAGACGCGGCCCAGACUCCUACGGGAGGCAGCAGUGGGGAAUUUUGGACAAUGGGCGCAAGCCUGAUCCAGCAAUGCCGCGUGCAGGAAGAAGGCCUUCGGGUUGUAAACUGCUUUUGUACGGAACGAAACGGCUCUGGUUAAUACCCGGGGCUAAUGACGGUACCGUAAGAAUAAGCACCGGCUAACUACGUG
rnacentral:rRNA from 1 species